rnacentral:rRNA from 1 species
GAAUUCGCCCUUAGAGUUUGAUCCUGGCUCAGGAUGAACGCUAGCGGCAGGCCUAAUACAUGCAAGUCGAACGGGAUUUAUUCUUUCGGGGAUAAUGAGAGUGGCGCACGGGUGCGUAACGCGUAUGCAACCUACCUUAUACAGGGGGAUAGCCCGGGGAAACCCGGAUUAAUACCCCAUGGUAUAUACCUAAUGCAUGUUAGGUAUAUUAAAGAUUUAUCGGUAUAAGACGGGCAUGCGUAGGAUUAGCUAGUUGGUAAGGUAACGGCUUACCAAGGCGACGAUCCUUAGGGGUUCUGAGAGGAAGGUCCCCCACACUGGCACUGAGAUACGGGCCAGACUCCUACGGGAGGCAGCAGUAGGGAAUAUUGGUCAAUGGGCGAGAGCCUGAACCAGCCAUGCCGCGUGCAGGAAGACGGCCUAUUGGGUUGUAAACUGCUUUUGUACGGGAAGAAAACGCCCCUGCGGGGGAGAUUGCCGGUACCGUACGAAUAAGCACCGGCUAACUCCGUGCCAGCAGCCGCGGUAAUACGGAGGGUGCAAGCGUUGUCCGGAUUUAUUGGGUUUAAAGGGUGCGUAGGCGGCCGAUUAAGUCGGCGGUGAAAGUUUCCGGCUCAACCGGGAGACUGCCGUUGAUACUGGUUGGCUUGAGUAAUGGAGGGGUACAUGGAAUUUAUGGUGUAGCGGUGAAAUGCAUAGAUACCAUAAGGAACACCGAUAGCGAAGGCAUUGUACAGGCCAUUUACUGACGCUGAUGCACCAAAGCAUUGGUAGCCGACUUGGA